AUUUCGUUGCGCAACGAUUAUCCUCUCCUAGAAUAACCCGAGUUUCCUCAAGGAAGAACAGAGGCGUGUAACCCUGAGGAGACUUCAGAGUCAACUACAGCUUAAAGCAUGGCCACCCCUCAACUUGCUUGAUCCUUGGGAUCUGAUACCCACUACGUUACCUGUUUUGAAGACACUAUAGUGAUCAAAAUCCCCGCCUUCAUGAAACUUAUAUUCAGAGAAUACAGAAGACAGUAAACAAGU